ACGUACACUCCUGCGGGAGGCAGCAGUGGGGAAUAUUGCACAAUGGGCGCAAGCCUGAUGCAGCCAUGCCGCGUGUGUGAAGAAGGCCUUCGGGUUGUAAAGCACUUUCAGCGGGGAGGAAGGCGAUACGGUUAACAACCGUGUUGAUUGACGUUACCCGCAGAAGAAGCACCGGCUAACUCCGUGCCAGCAGCCGCGGUAAUACGGAGGGUGCAAGCGUUAAUCGGAAUUACUGGGCGUAAAGCGCACGCAGGCGGUCUGUCAAGUCGGAUGUGAAAUCCCGGGCUCAACCUGGGAACUGCAUUCGAAACUGGCAGGCUUGAGUCUUGUAGAGGGGGGUAGAAUUCCAGGUGUAGCGGUGAAAUGCGUAGAGAUCUGGAGGAAUACCGGUGGCGAAGGCGGCCCCCUGGACAAAGACUGACGCUCAGGUGCGAAAGCGUGGGGAGCAAACAGGAUUAGAAACCCCAGUAGUCCC
rnacentral:rRNA from 1 species